AGAAGAAUAUUGCUUUUUAAACUCCUUUAAUAAUAUUUUUGCUAGAAGACUCCUCUUUGGCCUUUUAAUCCAUUCAAAAAAUGAUUUUUUUAUAAUCCAAUUACUAUCUUCUGAAAAAAAACUCAUCUUUCAAUGCUUCAGAUAAUUUUUUCUAUAAACCUCCAGAAUAUCUUAUAAUAGACCUUACAUGAUUUUUUAUUUCUAGUGCUAUAGUCAGUUCAAAUAAUUCAACCAUUUUUCUUUCUAGAACACUCUUCAACUCCAUUUUUUUUACAAAGCACUUUAAAUACUUUCUAAUGUCUUUUCCUUCAAAUUUAUCAAUCUUAUUGACAACCGCUUGUAAUACUUUGAUUGCCAUAUCC
rnacentral:lncRNA from 1 species